rnacentral:rRNA from 1 species
CAAACCGUGGCCACAUCUCCAACCAGCCGCCCCCUUCUCCUUGCCCCUCACUUCCUCCUCUCUCACGCCCAAGAGCUCCACCCCCUCCCAUGGUGUCUCCUCCCUGCCCUCCCCUCUCCUCCCUAGGCCCUCCAAGCUGCACCAUAUCCUGCACCACCUCGAGGGAAGCCCUCUAAUCUGGUUGUGAGGAAGGAUAAGAGGAGGAACAGGAAGACCAAGAGGAGAAGAACAAGAGGAGGAGGAGAAGAAGAGGUUGCAAGAGAAAAACAAGGGAGGAGGAGGCCUCCCCAACACUCCCCUCACCAAACGCCUCCAAUCCCACCACCAAGUUGAGGUCCUCGCUCUUCUUACCUGCACCAUAGCUCUGUUUUGGUGAAGGAUUCCGGGUGGUUAAGAAAGGGAGUAGCAGAUACAGGAUGGAUUGAAGCAAAAUUGGUUAUUGUUGCUGUUUCUGCGCGUCCAGAUUCAGAAAUCAGCUAUUUCGAGUUCCUAGAUGGAAAAAUCAGAGGAGGAGCAUGUGGAAUGUUUUGUAGGUGUUGUUCCCAUGAUCCUUUUGAGUGGUCAUUCAUUCAAUUCGGUUCAGCCGUUUAGCCUUGGCGAUAAAAACAAGUUGCUGCGCUGUUUCUGCAAAGCAGUAAUUUUCAUAGCUUUUGUUCAUAGUUUUUCAUGAUAUUGAAGGGUUGAUAAAUUGGUGUUAUACAAUGGUAUGGCUACGUGGUACCUUGUAGUUCAUAGGUCAAUUCCAUUUACUUGAUUCCCAUGGGUAUUUUUGUUACUAUGAACUUCCAAGGAUGGCUAUUCAAUAUUUCUGAAUCUGAGUACAGCAGAGCAGUAUUUGCUGGUUUUGAUCUCCAUAAGUUCAUAUUUUGAGGUUGAAUAGUUGGAGUUAUUUGUAAACAAGUUCCUUACGAAUCUGUAGCCAUCUUGUUUGUUUAUUUUUGAUCUUCCUAACUCAAGAUAUGAUUUUUUCCGUGAAUGGACAACAAAGGGUUGCUUCCCGGGAAUGCGAUUAGGCGCAUCAUUGUGUGUGCUUUACAUAGUGUUGAGUAUAAUGUUUAUUAGGAAAGAUGAGAUAGAUUAGGAUUUGUUCUGGCUUAUCUUGUACUCCAAGUAAAUGAUUGUACUCUUAUAUAUAUACCCACUAG